GGAAACGGAACUGAUUAUCGGUAGCCGGGUAUUGUUGCUACGUACUUUUGAAUGGCGUUUUUCAAAUGCUGCUUGAUGUUGGUGGCAAGACAGAAAUCAUUCUGCAGUCGGAAUUUCUUUAUUGGAUUUUUUAAAAUUUAAAAUAAAUAGAACUAAAGACGAGCAAUGCGAGACUCUAAAAAUAAACAUAGAAUAAAAGAUGGAAGAAGAAAGUACCUCUUACUGCUCAUUAAACCCCCAUGAACCGAUUGAAUUAAUGGCUAAUUAAUUAAGAGAAAAUUAUAGAUAGGACUUUUGCACCCUGGCCGUUGAUCCGGUCAUACAAAAAUUGCAUCAUAACUGAAGAAACUUGCAUGUCUUGGACUGAUACUUGAGACCCUUGUAAUUGUUUUAUCUAAUAAGCUAAUGAGUCUGCCAUAAAACUAAUUAAUUAAUUAAAUAUUAAUGCUCAAGAAAGACAUAACUGAAGAAACGGA
rnacentral:lncRNA from 1 species